rnacentral:rRNA from 1 species
AUUGAACGCUGGCGGCAUGCUUUACACAUGCAAGUCGAACGGUAACAGGGAGCUUGCUCCGCUGACGAGUGGCGAACGGGUGAGUAAUGCAUCGGAACGUACCCAGUCGUGGGGGAUAACGUAGCGAAAGUUACGCUAAUACCGCAUACGUCCUGAGGGAGAAAGCGGGGGACCGUAAGGCCUCGCGCGAUUGGAGCGGCCGAUGUCGGAUUAGCUAGUUGGUAGGGUAAAGGCCUACCAAGGCGACGAUCCGUAGCGGGUCUGAGAGGAUGAUCCGCCACACUGGGACUGAGACACGGCCCAGACUCCUACGGGAGGCAGCAGUGGGGAAUUUUGGACAAUGGGCGCAAGCCUGAUCCAGCCAUGCCGCGUGAGUGAAGAAGGCCU